rnacentral:rRNA from 1 species
GUCCUUAGUUGCCAGCGGUUCGGCCGGGAACUCUAAGGAGACUGCCGGUGAUAAACCGGAGGAAGGUGGGGAUGACGUCAAGUCAUCAUGGCCCUUAUGGGCUGGGCUACACACGUGCUACAAUGGUCGGUACAGAGGGCUGCGAAGCAGCGAUGUGGAGCUAAUCCCAGAAAACCGAUCGUAGUCCGGAUUGCAGUCUGCAACUCGACUGCAUGAAGUCGGAACCGCUAGUAAUCGCGAAUCAGAAUGUCGCGGUGAAUACGUUCCCGGGCCUUGUUACACACCGCCCGUCACACCAU